GGGGGAAUAUUGCACAAUGGAGGAAACUCUGAUGCAGCGACGCCGCGUGAGUGAAGAAGUAUUUCGGUAUGUAAAGCUCUAUCAGCAGGGAAGACAGUGACGGUACCUGACUAAGAAGCUCCGGCUAAAUACGUGCCAGCAGCCGCGGUAAUACGUAUGGAGCAAGCGUUAUCCGGAUUUACUGGGGUGUAAAGGGAGUGUAGGUGGUAUCACAAGUCAGAAGUGAAAGCCCGGGGCUCAACCCCGGGACUGCUUUUGAAACUGUGGAACUGGAGUGCAGGAGAGGUAAGUGGAAUUCCUAGUGUAGCGGUGAAAUGCGUAGAUAUUAGGAGGAACA
rnacentral:rRNA from 1 species